CAAAAAGACAACUCUGUUACGCAGAGUAGCUGUUGACAUUAUAGUUGCGCAGGAACUUUGUUGACUCUAGAGAACCUCGGGCAAAUCGCACUUCCCCGUGGUGGCGGCUUUGCAUGCGGAUGUCAUCCAUAUCAACUUUCGAUGCCAGUUUCUGCGCCUACCAUGGUGACCACGGGUAACGGGGAAUCAGGGUUCCAUUCCAUACAGGGACCUUGAGAAACGGCUACCACAAGCAAGGAAGGCAGCAGGCGUGCAAAUGACCCACUCCCAACGAGGGAAGGUAGUGACG